rnacentral:rRNA from 1 species
GAUGAACGCUAGCUACAGGCUUAACACAUGCAAGUCGAGGGACCGGCGCACGGGUGAGUAACACGUAUCCAACCUGCCCUUUACUCGGGGAUAGCCUUUCGAAAGAAAGAUUAAUACCCGAUGUAAAGGAGGGGGAUGCGUUCCAUUAGGUUGUUGUUGAGGAAACGGCUGACCAAGCCUUCGAUGGAUGGGGGUUCUGAGAGGAAGGCCCCUCACAUUGGAACUGAGACACGGUCCAAACUCGUACGGGAGGAAGCAGUGAGGAAUAUUGGUCAAUGGGCGCGAGCCUGAACCAGCCAAGUAGCGUGCAGGAUGACGGCCUAGGGGUGGUAAACUGCUUUUGUAUGGGGAUAGGUACCAUACGAAUAAGGACCGGCUAAUUCCGUGCCAGCAGCCGCGGUAAUUC